rnacentral:rRNA from 1 species
GGGUUGUGAGGUUAAGCGACUAAGCGUACACGGUGGAUGCCCUGGCAGUCAGAGGCGAUGAAGGGCGUGCUAAUCUGCGAUAAGCGCCGGUAAGGUGAUAUGAACCGUUAUAACCGGCGAUACCCGAAUGGGGAAACCCAGUGUGACUCGUCACACUAUCAUUAACUGAAUCCAUAGGUUAAUGAGGCGAACCGGGGGAACUGAAACAUCUAAGUACCCCGAGGAAAAGAAAUCAACCGAGAUUCCCCCAGUAGCGGCGAGCGAACGGGGAGGAGCCCAGAGCCUGAAUCAGCAUGUGUGUUAGUGGAAGCGUCUGGAAAGGCGCGCGAUACAGGGUGACAGCCCCGUACACAAAAGCGCAUGUGCUGUGAGCUCGAUGAGUAGGGCGGGACACGUGGUAUCCUGUCUGAAUAUGGGGGGACCAUCCUCCAAGGCUAAAUACUCCUGACUGACCGAUAGUGAACCAGUACCGUGAGGGAAAGGCGAAAAGAACCCCGGCGAGGGGAGUGAAAAAGAACCUGAAACCGUGUACGUACAAGCAGUGGGAGCACCCUUCGGGAUGUGACUGCGUACCUUUUGUAUAAUGGGUCAGCGACUUAUAUUCUGUAGCAAGGUUAACCCAAAGCAUUCUCUGGUGUUGAAGGCCCUGCAAAGCAGCAUCGCGGUGGCGGAGCGUCGUUUGCGACGCCCAACACACAAAACAAGCGGUGAAUGCUUUGGGGUGGGGUGACUGCGUACCUUUUGUAUAAUGGGUCAGCGACUUAUAUUCUGUAGCAAGGUUAAGCCAGUGGUGAACUCCACAUCCGCAUCCUUUGCUGAGGAUACGGUUAACGGAGCGAAAGCGACGUUCAACCGCAAAACAAGCAGAGGGGGCUUAGUGGUGGGGUGACUGCGUACCUUUUGUAUAAUGGGUCAGCGACUUAUAUUCUGUAGCAAGGUAGGUUUACCUGUGUGACUGCGUACCUUUUGUAUAAUGGGUCAGCGACUUAUAUUCUGUAGCAAGGUUAACCGAAUAGGGGAGCCGUAGGGAAACCGAGUCUUAACCGGGCGUUAAGUUGCAGGGUAUAGACCCGAAACCCGGUGAUCUAGCCAUGGGCAGGUUGAAGGUUGGGUAACACUAACUGGAGGACCGAACCGACUAAUGUUGAAAAAUUAGCGGAUGACCUGUGGCUGGGGGUGAAAGGCCAAUCAAACCGGGAGAUAGCUGGUUCUCCCCGAAAGCUAUUUAGGUAGCGCCUCGUGAAUUCAUCUCCGGGGGUAGAGCACUGUUUCGGCUAGGGGGCCAUCCCGGCUUACCAACCCGAUGCAAACUGCGAAUACCGGAGAAUGUUAUCACGGGAGACACACGGCGGGUGCUAACGUCCGUCGUGAAGAGGGAAACAACCCAGACCGCCAGCUAAGGUCCCAAAGUCAUGGUUAAGUGGGAAACGAUGUGGGAAGGCCCAGACAGCCAGGAUGUUGGCUUAGAAGCAGCCAUCAUUUAAAGAAAGCGUAAUAGCUCACUGGUCGAGUCGGCCUGCGCGGAAGAUGUAACGGGGCUAAACCAUGCACCGAAGCUGCGGCAGCGACGCUGAUGCGUUGUUGGGUAGGGGAGCGUUCUGUAAGCCUGCGAAGGUGACCUGUGAGGGUUGCUGGAGGUAUCAGAAGUGCGAAUGCUGACAUAAGUAACGAUAAAGCGCCAAGACAACUUUACGGAGUUGACGAUUGACGGAGCGAAGCGACGUCAAAGCGUUCAUUAAAGUCGAGUUGGCUUAGGGAUACGUUCGUUGGGUAGGGGAGCGUUCUGUAAGCCUGUGAAGGUGUGUCGUGAGGCAUGCUGGAGGUAUCAGAAGUGCGAAUGCUGACAUAAGUAACGAUAAAGCGGGUGAAAAGCCCGCUCGCCGGAAGACCAAGGGUUCCUGUCCAACGUUAAUCGGGGCAGGGUGAGUCGACCCCUAAGGCGAGGCCGAAAGGCGUAGUCGAUGGGAAACGGGUUAAUAUUCCCGUACUUGGUGUUACUGCGAAGGGGGGACGGAGAAGGCUAUGUUGGCCGGGCGACGGUUGUCCCGGUUUAAGCGUGUAGGUGUGUGUUCCAGGUAAAUCCGGUUCACUUUAACACUGAGGCGUGACGACGAGGCACUACGGUGCUGAAGCAACAAAUGCCCUGCUUCCAGGAAAAGCCUCUAAGCAUCAGGUAACAUCAAAUCGUACCCCAAACCGACACAGGUGGUCAGGUAGAGAAUACCAAGGCGCUUGAGAGAACUCGGGUGAAGGAACUAGGCAAAAUGGUGCCGUAACUUCGGGAGAAGGCACGCUGACACGUAGGUGAAGUGAUUUACUCACGGAGCUGAAGUCAGUCGAAGAUACCAGCUGGCUGCAACUGUUUAUUAAAAACACAGCACUGUGCAAACACGAAAGUGGACGUAUACGGUGUGACGCCUGCCCGGUGCCGGAAGGUUAAUUGAUGGGGUCAGCGCAAGCGAAGCUCCUGAUCGAAGCCCCGGUAAACGGCGGCCGUAACUAUAACGGUCCUAAGGUAGCGAAAUUCCUUGUCGGGUAAGUUCCGACCUGCACGAAUGGCGUAAUGAUGGCCAGGCUGUCUCCACCCGAGACUCAGUGAAAUUGAACUCGCUGUGAAGAUGCAGUGUACCCGCGGCAAGACGGAAAGACCCCGUGAACCUUUACUAUAGCUUGACACUGAACAUUGAGCCUUGAUGUGUAGGAUAGGUGGGAGGCUUUGAAGUGUGGACGCCAGUCUGCAUGGAGCCGACCUUGAAAUACCACCCUUUAAUGUUUGAUGUUCUAACGUGGACCCGUAAUCCGGGUUGCGGACAGUGUCUGGUGGGUAGUUUGACUGGGGCGGUCUCCUCCUAAAGAGUAACGGAGGAGCACGAAGGUUGGCUAAUCCUGGUCGGACAUCAGGAGGUUAGUGCAAUGGCAUAAGCCAGCUUGACUGCGAGCGUGACGGCGCGAGCAGGUGCGAAAGCAGGUCAUAGUGAUCCGGUGGUUCUGAAUGGAAGGGCCAUCGCUCAACGGAUAAAAGGUACUCCGGGGAUAACAGGCUGAUACCGCCCAAGAGUUCAUAUCGACGGCGGUGUUUGGCACCUCGAUGUCGGCUCAUCACAUCCUGGGGCUGAAGUAGGUCCCAAGGGUAUGGCUGUUCGCCAUUUAAAGUGGUACGCGAGCUGGGUUUAGAACGUCGUGAGACAGUUCGGUCCCUAUCUGCCGUGGGCGCUGGAGAACUGAGGGGGGCUGCUCCUAGUACGAGAGGACCGGAGUGGACGCAUCACUGGUGUUCGGGUUGUCAUGCCAAUGGCACUGCCCGGUAGCUAAAUGCGGAAGAGAUAAGUGCUGAAAGCAUCUAAGCACGAAACUUGCCCCGAGAUGAGUUCUCCCUGAGACUUAGAGUCUCCUGAAGGAACGGUGACGACGACGACGUUGAUAGGCCGGGUGUGUAAGCGCAGCGAUGCGUUGAGCUAACCGGUACUAAUGAACCGUGAGGCUUAACCUUACAACGCCGAAG